AAUUCACUCCGUUUCGGUUCCCCCAGGCAGUCGCUCCCUUUCUGGUUCCCACUCUCAUCCCCCGGCCCUUACCCACUUACCCUCCCAUCGCGCUCCCCAACCCCUUCCUCUCUCCUCGAAACCCUAGUUCCCCCGAUCUCCUCUCCUCCCAAAUCCACCGCUGAUCCCAUCCUCCCCUCGAAAACCUAGCUCGCCGAUCCCAUCUCCCCCUUUUCGAUCCCGCCGACAUGUCGAGCGCCUUGGACAUGUCUCUCGAUGAAAUGAUCAAAAAGAACAAGACGUCCUCCGCCGGAAAUUUCCGCGGCCGGGGACGAGGGUCUGGCGCCGGCCCCGCCCGACGCUUCCCCCCCCGCUCCAGGAACCGCUCCGCCCCUUAUUCGAUCGGCAAGGCUCCGGAUUCGGCAUGGCAGCAUGAUAUUUAUUCUGGCCAGAUGAGGGGUUAUCCGGCGCCGGUGGCUAAGCCAGCAGCUAUAGAGACGGGCACCAAGCUCUACAUCUCCAACUUGGACUACGGGGUCUCGAACGAGGAUAUCAAGGAACUCUUCUCAGAGGUUGGUGAUCUGAAGCGCUACUCAAUUCAUUAUGAUAGGAGUGGAAGGUCCAAGGGAACAGCAGAAGUUGUCGUCUCAAGGCGAGGAGAUGCUUUAGCAGCUGUAAAAAGAUACAACAAUGUGCAACUUGAUGGCAAACCAAUGAAAAUAGAGAUUGUAGGAACAAACAUCCCGACACCAGCGGCUGUGUCUCAGGUUUCAAAUGGGAGCUAUGGAAAACCUAAUGGUGUUUCUAAGAGUGCACCAAUAAGGGGCUCCAUAGGACAGCCACGAGGUGGUGGCCGUGGAAGGGGGAGGGGCCGUGGUCGAGGUAAAGGCCGCAAUGAACCAAUUUCUGCUGCAGAGCUUGAUGCUGAUUUGGACAAGUACCAUUCAGAAGCAAUGCAAGUCAACUGAAACCACCUCUUAUCUGGAUUUUAUGUGCUCCAAUUGCUUGCUCAGUGCUGCCCAAUAGUUUUUGUUUUUCUACAUCCAUGCUGCUGUAGGAAAGGGAAGAUAGUACUCUUAAAAGUACUUCACUGGUUUAUGGGGCUCUGAUUUUCUUAUUGUUACUGCUCUUGAUUUCAACAUGCUACUUGGAUUAAGUGGACAUCUGGUGACCGUGCUUGAGGAUCAUUUCAUUUGGUUGGCUUCAUUUUUCUCACUCUCAGUAAUGCGGCUCGGAUUCUAUCUUGUAUUGGUUGCGCAAACUGUUCAAGUCAGCUGCACAGGGUAAGCUGCAGUGCUUUUGAGAAUAUGCGGUCCUAGUUUCUCGUUCUGAAUUGUUUCACAUCCCAUACUGGUGUAAGGUAGGCUGUAUAGCAGAAUCCUUAGUGACAAAUGCUUUCCUUUAGUAGCAUCUACUCAGUUGAUGGUAUGAGGUUCCUUUACCUACCUAAACCAAAAGUAUCCGUGGGCUGCUGUUGAUCUACGGUAGUAUCAGCGCCAUGACUAUUGAAAAUAUGCUUGACGGUGCAUCAAAUACCAUUAGAAUUGCGCGUCAACUGAAAGCAGGUUGAUUUUGUGGGCUGUGCUUGUUGGGCUUUAGGUUGGCAAGGUGCCUAAACCAAAAAUUCUGUGGGCUGCUGUUGAUUUCACAGUCAUCAGUGCCUGUGAAUGUUGGAAAUAUGCAUGAUGGUGCAUCAGAUAUCAUUAGAAUUGUGCAUCAACUAAAAUCUGGUAGAUGCUUGUGGGCCACUGAGGCAGAGGUUAGGGUGUCCAGGUGCAUAAAUCAAAAAUUCUGUUGGCUGCUGUUGAUUUGCUGUAGGAUCAGUGCCCACGAAUUUUGAAAAUAUGCAUGAUGGUGCAUCUGAUAUCAUUAGAAUUGCGUGAACUGAAAGCAGGUUGAUGCUUGUGGGCUAUGCUUGCGAACUGAGGCUGACCUUAGGGUGUCGAGGUGCAGAACCAUGUUUGGUUUUGCUUGCUCAUGAACUGUUGAAGGUAUUAUACCUGCAAUAUAACAUAUGCUCGCUGAUAUCUGUGCAGCGUGUGAUCAAUGCUGUGCUCGAGUUUUUGGUAUUUGGGAUUGUGAUGUUGAAUAAAGUAGAAGGUGAUGGCUUUGGAAGUACUGAUAUAAUGAUCAUUGGCCAAGUUGGUCAUUGCUCAAGCCUCAAAGGUGCUUAUAUGCCCCUGGCAUAGGGUCACAUUGUUUCAUUAGGCACUGCUAUCAUGAGAACUGGUGCUGAAGAUGAGGUUUAAUUGGGUGGCACCUUGGAUCCUUCAUGUCGUAUCUGAUAGCUCUGAAAUGAAGUUGAGAUCUCAUGGUAUAAAAUAUGGCGAUCAAUUUCAACCGGAAGAAUUGUAUAUCAUCUCAUGGUAUUUCUCUUAUCACCACUUUAGAAGUUGGUAAUCAUAGCGGUGAAAAGGAAAUAUUUGCAGGCUGGAUGAAUAACUAACUUAAACAAUUUACCUUGGGAUUAUUUUUUGACUUCUUGUAGAGGUUAUCAUUGGCUUCCUUGCGCAGCUGCCUUAAGAAUGCUGUGCUUGUAUGUCAUGCCAGUGUCACAGCAGUUGGUGUGCCUCACAAGCGACAUCACAUGUUGGACGCUGCAUUUUAAUGCAGUUCAACGUAACAAUUAUUUUUGCUGCACGGUCCGUGGGAAAGUUUGAUCAAGUUCUGCUACAUGGCCAACAAGCUUAACUUUGCAGUGUAGAUGAUGAUGGUGCCUAUCUGGCUUGCUAUUGCUGGCAAGCUGUAUUUGUGCAUACCUUUUAUUCGAAAGUGCCAUCUGGAUGUCAUAUCUUGAUGCUAGCCUCUAUAUGUGGCUUGAUGAAACUAGAAUGGCCUUGGUCAAGCAAGAUCAAGAGUUAUUCAUGUCUUUUCAGCAACCAACGGUUGCAUGGAUUGCUUCUGAAUGGAAAUGAGAU